GAGGAGAGUGGAAUUCCACGUGUAGCGGUGAAAUGCAUAGAGAUGUGGAGGAACACCAGUGGCGAAGGCGACUCUCUGGUCUGUAACUGACGCUGAGGCGCGAAAGCGUGGGGAGCGAACAGGAUUAGAUACCCUGGUAGUCCACGCCGUAAACGAUGAGUGCUAGGUGUUAGGGGGUUUCCGCCCCUUAGUGCUGAAGUUAACGCAUUAAGCACUCCGCCUGGGGAGUACGGCCGCAAGGCUGAAACUCAAAAGAAUUGACGGGGGCCCGCACAAGCGGUGGAGCAUGUGGUUUAAUUCGAAGCAACGCGAAGAACCUUACCAGGUCUUGACAUCCUCUGACCACCCUAGAGAUAGGGCUUUCCCUUCGGGGACAGAGUGACAGGUGGUGCAUGGUUGUCGUCAGCUCGUGUCGUGAGAUGUUGGGUUAAGUCCCGCAACGAGCGCAACCCUUAUUCUUAGUUGCCAGCAUUUAGUUGGGCACUCUAAGGAGACUGCCGGUGACAAACCGGAGGAAGGUGGGGAUGACGUCAAAUCAUCAUGCCCCUUAUGACCUGGGCUACACACGUGCUACAAUGGAUGGUACAAAGGGCAGCAAAACCGCGAGGUCGAGCAAAUCCCAUAAAACCAUUCUCAGUUCGGAUUGCAGGCUGCAACUCGCCUGCAUGAAGCCGGAAUCGCUAGUAAUCGCGGAUCAGCA
rnacentral:rRNA from 1 species